CAUAACCUUUAGCUAAACCAGUAUUAAAGGCAACGCCUGCCCAGUGAAUAAUUAAACGGCCGCGGUACCCUAACCGUGCAAAGGUAGCGUAAUCACUUGUCUAUUAAUUGUAGACCUGUAUGAAAGGCAUAAUGAGGGUUUAACUGUCUCUUUUAGUAAAUCAAUUAAACUGAUCUCCUAGUCCAAAAGCUAGGAUACCAACAUAAGACCAGAAGACCCUGUGAAACUUUAACUAAAAUAUUAAAACCCAUAAUAACUACUUUAGGUUGGGGCGACCUUGGAAAACAAAAGAACUUCCAUACAAGUAUUAUACAAAAUACACAGCCGGCCAACAAGCCUACAACGACCCAGCAUAGCUGAUAAUUGAACUAAGCUACUCCAGGGAUAACAGCGCUAUCUUCUUCAAGAGCCCAUAUCAAAAAGAAGGUUUACGACCUCGAUGUUGGAUCAGGACAUCCUAAUGGUGCAACCGCUAUUAAGGGUUCGUUUGUUCAACGAUUAACAGUCCUACGUG
rnacentral:rRNA from 1 species